AGGGAGCUAGUCUAAAUAAGACCUCUGAUUUCGGCUCAGAAGACUGUGGUUAAAUUCCAUAGCCCCCUU
rnacentral:tRNA from 1 species